UACGAAGGGGGCGAGCGUUGUCCGGAAUCAUUGGGCGUAAAGCGCGCGUAGGCGGCGCGGUAAGUCAGGUGUGAAAUCUUGGAGCUUAAACUCCGAAACUGCAUUCGAUACUGCCGUGCUUGAGGACUGGAGAGGAGACUGGAAUUUACGGUGUAGCGGUGAAAUGCGUAGAUAUCGUAAGGAAGACCAGUGGCGAAGGCGGGUCUCUGGACAGUUCCUGACGCUGAGGCACGAAGGCCAGGGGAGCAAACGGG
rnacentral:rRNA from 1 species